UACGUAGGGUGCAAGCGUUGUCCGGAAUUAUUGGGCGUAAAGAGCUCGUAGGCGGUCUGUCGCGUCGGCUGUGAAAUCCCGAGGCUCAACCUCGGGUCUGCAGUCGAUACGGGCAAACUAGAGUAUUGCAGGGGAGACUGGAAUUCCUGGUGUAGCGGUGAAAUGCGCAGAUAUCAGGAGGAACACCGGUGGCGAAGGCGGGUCUCUGGGCAAUAACUGAC
rnacentral:rRNA from 1 species